UAGGAAUCUAACAGAAUGAAUACACUACAGAACAGGUGAUUCAUUAGGAAUCAAACAGAAUGAAUACACCACAGAACAGGGUUGUAUUCAUUAGGAAUCAAACAGAAUGAAUACACCACAGAACAGGGUCGUAUUCAUUAGGAAUCUAACAGAAUGAAUACACCACAGAACAGGUGAUUCAUUAGGAAUCAAACAGAAUGAAUACACUACAGAACAGGUGAUUCAUUAGGAAUCAAACAGAAUGAAUACACCACAGAACAGGUGAUUCAUUAGGAAUCAAACAGAAUGAAUACACCACAGAACAGGUGAUUCAUUAGGAAUC